UUGUUUGCGAUUGAAUUUCAUUUGCUUCCUCUCUCUCUCUUUCUCUCGCGAUCGAAGACCCGAAACGACAACGGUGAGAAUUUGGAAUCGAAGCUUCUGGAGGAAGAGGAGAUUGCUGUCGGAGGAGAUGCAGAACGGAGGCGAAUGAAUGACUCGCCGUGUUUGGGGAAUGAAUGACUCGCCGUGUCCCAUCGUGAUGCUUGAAUCAUCUCGGUGACAUGAAGCAAGGCGGUUUGAAUUUGGGGUCCGCUCAAUCGGAAGAUAUUGAAUCAAUUGGAAUCAGUGGUAAAGCUGGCACAAGUUACAGGUCUUAAUCAGCUUCCUGUUGUAGGAUAGGAUAGAUUCCUUUGUCUAAGCUGAUCGAUGUUCCGUCCAAUUGAGGCUCUUGGACACUUUGUGUUGUGGGCGUUUGAUUGUAUUCUCACAGAUUUGGCAGCUCAAUAAGGUGGUUUGACUAACGUACUACCAACUUUGAUGGAAAAUGCUAAGUAUCAGGGACAGGACAAGCUUCAUUUUACAGUUUGGAUGAUGGCUCAGGCUUCCCAAGGUGAUCUAUCUGUAGGCUUGUAUUCAUGGUGGUGAUGGUUGAUAGAAGAAAGAGAGAUGGUGAGGUUGUGUUAUGGAAUGUUAUGAUUGAUGGUUACAUGAGACUUGGUGAUUGUAAAGUUGUUGUGGUUUUCUGUGAGAUGAAGAAAAGAGAUGGGUUUCAUGAUGUGCUUGGCUCUGCUUUGAUUGAUAUGUACUCGAAAUGUGGGAUUGAGAAAGCGGUUAAGGUGUUUGAGAGAUUACCUCGAGAGAAUGUGAUUACUUGGAGUGCCAUGAUAAACGGGUUUGCUAUACAUGGACACGCAGGUGAUGAUAUUGAGUUUUUUUUUGUAAAAUGAGGCGGGCUGGAGUUCAGCCUAGUGAUGUUGCUUACAUCAAUCUCUUGACUGCUUGUAGCCAGGGUAGGUUAAUAGAAGAAUGAAGGAAGUAUUUUAGUGAAAUGGUGAAUGUGGAUGGGUUAGAGCCUAGGAUUGAACACUAUGUAUGGUUGAUAUAUUGGGUCGUUCUAGUCUUCUUGAUGAGGCUGUGGAGUUCAUGGACAGAGGUUUACCUUGAACAAUAUUUUCAAGGUAAGAGACCCAUAAUUAUAUGCUACCAUUGAAGGAUACAAUUUAAUUAAGAGAUCAAAGGUUUUUAUAA